CAAUUCUUUAUUAAAUGUGUAUUAUAUAAAAUUUUGUCUGAUGUUAAAAGCAAUAAUUUUAGAAAUCAUUUAAACAUUAUUUCGUUGACUAUCUUUUAUCAAAGUUGAAAAUAAGAUAAACCAAUCCCGCAGAAACGGACAUGGCGCGUAUUCAAUGACAACAAAACGAUAGACCAGGGAUAUUUAAGCUAUUUUCUCGUCUUUUGUAAAGAAUGCACAGUUGAUUUAAAAUGCGGAGGGGAAUAACAAGGGGAGGCCACUCCAAUCUCCCUGUCCCCAAGGCCUCCAGAGGAUCCCCGGGGAACUCCAAGUCCCUAGGAAGGGGAGGGAACUUUGCUCACUCUGCUGAGGACAUUCCCCAGAAAGUACAGAAUUCCUAUGGCACCCCCUCACCUCACCGGAGGGCGGUGUCCCCAGGGGACCAGAGAAGGGGGCUUAGUGUGCCUGGAGAGCAAGGGGGUCAGGCUGGUGUGAGGUACAUAACAGAGGACCUGGUCAAGAAAAUCGCCAAAGAGGACGCCCUUGAGAUGAUCACAAACCUAAAUCUGACCCUGGCCAAAGAGGGCGGUAAAAAAAUCAAGUACAUAGAAAACCUGGAUAAACUAAAGAAGCUACAACAGCUCAAUCUUAGCAGUAACAUAAUUGAGAAAAUCGAGAAGCUGGACAAAUGUCUGAAGCUGAAGGAUCUGAACCUGUCGUACAACCUGAUCCCUAAGAUUGAGGGCCUUGAGAACCUGAUGUACCUCCAGGUGUUAAACCUGACAGGUAACAAGAUCGAACACAUACCUGUCUGGCUGGCCAAGCGGUUGCGGGCAUUACGGACAUUACAUCUGGGCAAGAACAAUCUGCAGUCGCUGAGUGAGCUGGCCAAGCUAAAGCCCCUCCCUGACCUGACCCAGUUAACGGUGGCUGAGAACCCAGUGGCGGGGCUGCCCCACUACAGACAAUACCUGGUGUACCACCUACGGACCCUGGAAGUACUGGACAGCCAGCCGGUCACUGAGAGGGACAGACAGAUGGCCAGGGACAGGUUCGAACAAGAUGAGCUGGAGAGGUUGGAGAGACAGGUGGAGGAGGACGACUCGAGACUGAGGAAACUCGAGGAAGAGAAGAACCUGUCCGCUCAGGAGUCGUACCUGCUCAAGACUCAGCAGGAGGAGUUCGUGAGGCAGCAGAGGAUGUCCAUGGACCGGAUGAAGGACAUGGAGCGCGAGCUGUCGGCCAAAGACGACCUGCAAAUCACUAACCAAUCAUGUAGGCACACUAUGGAAUGGCGGACAUUUCCAAAAACUAAGGAGACCUGGGAUGUGACCGGUAAACCCCCACCAUUUCAGCUAAAAAAGAAAACCUCUGAGCUGAACAAAGCCUGUGAAAAGCAUUAUCAGCUAGAACAGGAAUUGGCAUUCUAUAAAAUCGACUCCAAGUUCGACAGUCUUGGCAAAAGUCCUUCCAAUUAUAACACGGAUGGAGAUGACAGUGGGGGGCUAGGAGAGAGUCCAUACAUAGGGAGGGCCAGGUACAAGGCCAAUCAGUUCGCCCGGGAGGGGGAUCUAUCGGGCUCCCCCCAACAACACGCCAGCGUCAACAGUCAGCCCAGCCCCCAGAAAGUGGAGGUCAUGGAGAGGUUAAACGCCCAGUUAGAGUCCGAGCUGGCUCAGAAACAGGACCGAGUCCAGAAAACAAAUAGCCGAGUCAAGGAGACUGAGGACCGGCUGAAGCGGCUGCAGGAUGAUUUGAUGGGGACGGAGAGGAAGCUGCUACAGGCCACCAAGGACCUGAAACGCAUGGGGGACAUCCCCGACAAGGACGACAUGAAGGUCCAGAUCCGACAGAGGAUGGCCAAGAAGAUGCAGCUGGUGAAUGAGCUGCGAGACAGUGCGACCCAGAUAGAGGAGGAGAUUGACAAGACGAAGAACUCGAUGCAUCAGAACAAGGUAGAUGUGGCGCGCCUGAAGGGACAGCUGGAGAGGAUGGACACCAAGGACCCUAAAUACAGGAAGCUGUAUGCGGAGAUGGUUGACAAGGAGCAGCAGAUCAGUGAGAGUAACCAGAUGUACGGACAGCUGAACCAACAGCUGGAGGUCAUGCUGGAUACCAUCGCCAGGGAAACGGAUGACAUCAAGAAGCUCGAGACCCAGCUCAAUGACGAUCGCAUUGAGAGUAACGACUCCAUUCGUAACGAGCUGGAUGACAUUGUUGGAGGUUUACAAGGUUAUCUGGCUCAUGUAAAGACCAAAGGUCAGAAAGCUCAGCGAGAUUACGAGAUGCUGCUCAGUGAGAAAAUGACUCUAGAAGAUCAGUGUCGCAAGCUCGAGCAAGAACUCAGUGUGCUGGACAGUGAGGCUGGCAAGGUGCCAACUCUCGAACAGAGACUAAUGGAGCUGGAGGAUUCCCUGGCGCAGCACCAGGACAUGAACCGGACGCUGGAGGACCAGAUCCACCGGAACCGGUCUAAGGACGCCGAGUACCAGGACAAGAUGGAGACCACCGCCCAGGAACUCCAGGAGAUGAGGAAGGCGCUCAAAGAGGCCGAGAGGAAGAUCAAUAAUGACAGACAGCAGUAUGAGCAGAGAGUACAAACAGAGAGAGAGAGGACAGAGAAAGCCAUGAAGGAAGCUCGAGAUAAAUCUCAGCUCGAGGACGAGAUCAGGAGGCUACAGGGUCAACUCAAUAAUACUUCGGCUCAGCUAGGUGACAAAGACAGACGGCUGAAUGACUCCAUCCCUCACCCAGAGCUCAAGAAGAGGCUGAAGGACCUGACACAGACUAUCAAAGCAGGCAGAAGUCCCAUCAGCCCCCAGAGUGACCGAGACGUGCUGGGGAAAUCCUUCAAGGAAAUCCAGCAGUUCAUCCAGGACAAUGCCAACAAGAGUCUCCGAGAGGUUGAGCAGAUUAAGAAAUCCACCAACCAGGCUGAUGCUGAAAUUCAAACACUUCGAGAAAACCUGAAAAAAGCAGAAAAUAGGCUACAGAAGCGAGCAGAGAAGGACCACAGUAAAGAUGAAAAGUUUGAGGCUGAGAAAAGGGCCAACAAGGAGCUGAUGAAUGAGUUACAGAGAAUGAAAGAAGCUUACAAAGACCUAGAAAACAAGUCGGCUCAGGGUCGACCAAUAAUGAAGAUUGUGUACAAGCCAGAGUCUGACACCGACUCGCUGAAUUCUGAGGAGAAAGCUCUCUAUGAUGAACUCCAGAGGGAGUUAAUGGAUCUCCGACGUAACAUGCGGCACAAAGAGAACGAGAACGCCAAACAGCUUGCUAGUGUAGAAAAUGAGGCGGCCAUGUUGGAACAGAUGGUGAGAGAACAAGAAGAGGAACUAGCCAAGACUCGGGAGGAAAAUGAACUCGAAAAGGAAAAGUAUGAGGCCCGUAUGCAGGUGAUAGCUCAGGAUCUGGAGCAAGCACAGAGCACGGCCGACCAGCUAAAGUACAUGCUGGACGAACGUGAGUCCUACCUCCACGGAGAACUACAGAACAAACAGAUGAACAACCAGAUGAUCACUGAUUUAAAUUCAAAAGCAGGUGCCCAAGAGGAAGAGUUGACCAAGUUAUAUGACAUUUUGGAAACUCAGCGACAGGAAAUUGAACAUCUGAACCAUCUUUUGGACUCCAUGGCUGGAGGGGGCAGUGCUGCAGCUGGCCCUGCGUUUGAUGAUGACUUAUGGAGACUCCGCCAGGAGGUGAAUCGUUUGAAGGAGACCCUGGCCAUGCAGUCUGCUUACAUCCAGUCCAUGCCUAAACCUCAGGGGACAAUGGGAACUCAAGCCAGUGCUGGGAUAGGUCCUGCUCAGGGUAUACAUCACCAGGGUCAAGCUUCUGGACCUACUCCAUACAGACCAGUAUUAACUCAGCAGCAUGGGGCACCUGUUGGAUUCAUGCCAGGGGCACCUGUUGGAGCAAAUGCUAGAGGAACAAUGGGUCCAAUGUAUUCAGCUCAAGGUGGAGUUUCGUUUGGUGGCCAGCAACCAGGGGUUGGAGCAGACAGAGGAGAUGGGAGAAUACCAUCAGGGGGUAGACCUGCUGGAAGGUCAAGGUCAAGUGAAGGACGGCUAACUCAAGGAGCAAGACACAGUGGCAGGGGUGGAAGCGGUGAAUCUGACCGAGGCAGUGUGAGAAGUCACAGGAGUGGACGAUCUGGGCACAGUCGAUCAGGACGAGAAAGAACAAGAUCUUCUCGCUCUAAAACAGCAUUCGAGCCAGUACAUAAACCACAACCUUAUAUACCGGCUCAGACUACUGGAGCCUACCCGGGUAUGGUUGAUGCUGGUCUGGGCCCCCAGCCACAGCCCUCACAAAACAUUCCUGGUUACCAGCCUGGCACUGGCUCCUUCCACAGCAGUCUGUUCCCUCAGGGUACGAACCAGAACCGAGGAGUGGGUCAGACUCCCGGCUAUGCUGGUACCCAGACACCAGGCUAUGCUGGUACCCAGACACCAGGCUAUGCUGGUACCCAGACACCGGGCUAUGGAGCCACACAGAGCUCUGGGUAUGGCUCUGUCCCAGUUUAUGCAGCAGGAGCCACCCAGACACCAGGCACCCAUGGUACACAGACCUCCUACCCCGUGGGACAGAUGAACUAUGUGCCUGUGGCAGCUAAUCCUAUCCAGUCCACAGGAUCAGGAAGGACCUUCCUACCAGCCUACUCCACAUCACCUGAACGACCUGCUGGCAGGAUCUACUACCCCCCUGGUGGUGCCCCUCCACCUCCACCCCCACCAUCCUCGGGUGGCACCCAGUAUGGGCCCUCAUCUCCUGGGCCCCGUGUGACAUUCCUACCCCUGGCUCCAGUAGCUGCUGGUACCCCUGUAAAGGGCCGGGCACCUAACGGGUCCAUGACAGUCCCUCCCAGUCCUAUUGUGGCUGGAUCCCUCAGUAUGGAUGGUGGUCAGCCACGAGGGAUCCUGAAGAAUGCCGAGGUCAGCGGAGACGAUACAUACCUCUUCUGUAAUGUUCCAGAGCACCAUGACCUGGAGGAUUAUGUGGCAGAGUUACAAGAAAAACUAAGAAAACUAAAGGCCAAGAUAGCAAGAGAGGAGGAACUACAAAUGCAGGCAGAGGAGGAGGAUGAGAAUCGAUUGAUACGCAGGUUACGGGGAGAGCUAGAGCAAAGAAGAGAUGAGCUUGAAGGUUUAGAUUUGGCCAUUGAACGACAAAAGAAAUGUUUGAAAGAUCUGAAAAAGGAGGAAAAAUUCCUAGAAAAUGAGAGAAUAGCAGCAAGGGAUGAACUUCAAUUCAUGAGACAUCACAAUUCAAAGGAAAACAAGAAAAGGCGGUUACGAGCCAAUGUGUUUGAUGAGUCUUGCACUGAUGAGGAUGACGUAGGCUUAGCUGGAAGCAGAAGGAAGUUCUUAAGGAAUGAGAUUGAUGCCCUGGAGAGAACUUUGGCCAAGCGGCGGAGUCAGCUACAGGACGCAGACAAGCUCCUGCGUGUGUGUAACUCAGACCUUCAGGAGGCCAAAGAAGAGGCCAGACAGACAGUGGAGAAGUUUGACUUGGCAGCAGAGGGUCUACAGAAUACAGUCAAAGAAACGGGUGAACUGGAGAAGAGAGCCAAUCAGGCAGGAGUAGAGCUGAUCAAGGCGUCCGACACGCUCCGCGCAAUAAGGGAAGAGGUCAAGGACAUGGAACGGAAGCGAACCAAGCAGGAGCGACUUCUCCGAGACAUCAACCAGGUGACUGCUAAAAAGGAUGCUGAGUAUAAGGACCUUGACAGUAGAAUUAGAGGUGCUACACAAAAUCUGCACAAGCUUCACGCUGAGCUUGCAGCAGCAGCUGCGAGGGAGAAGGAGACGGUGUCGGCCCUGAACGACGCAGAGGAAGUACUGACAAAACGUCGCUCUGAUAUUGCCAGAAUGCGUGACCAGAUUGAUCAGCAGAAGCAGGAGUUGGAGAAACUGGACCAGAAGAUGGGAAAGAAGAGAACGGAGUUCCAGCUCCUCCAGGAGUCCAUGGAGAAGAAAUCCACGGAACUGACCUCAGUGCUACGAGAGGCCGAGGCUGAGUGUGCAGCCAGGCAGAGGGAAGCAAGGGACUAUAAAGACAAAAUUAGUGAGUUAGAGAUCCAAAGGAAUGAACUCAUACAAACACUGAAAAUGAAACGUGGUGAACUUCAUAAGCGGAAAGAGGAAGUGGAAACAGAAGACGAAGUGUUACAGAAAUUGAUUAACUCAGUGAGCAAAAACAAAUCAGAACUCCAGCAUAUAUUUGAAAUGCAAAAAAUAGAAAAACAUGAACUGGACAGUUUGAAAUCUCAGCAUGCUCAGAAGUUGUCAGAGUUGGAGAAAACACAACGAGAAUUAUUGGAGGAAAGAUCUCAGUUGGAUCAACUGUGUGCUGAGACAAGUCGGAAGUCAAGUGAAGUGGAUCGACUGCGACAAGCACUGGACCGUGACAGACAGGAAGUGGAAAGGCUGGCAAUGGAGAAGCAAUCAUUGGAGGAUCGUUUGAAUGCCAUGUCUCGUGAAAAGGACAUGAUGGAAGAUACCACUAAGAACCUGGACAACAAAAUCAACCAAAUGCGAAGAACUCACAGAUCGGUGGAAGAAAAGUUGGACACCUCUACCAAGAGAAUGGAAACUGUGGAAUCGGAGCUCCGACAUCGAGAGAAAGAACUGGAUGAGGCCAAUCAUCAGCGAGCUCAGCUCCAGAAAGAGGUUCACGCACUCAGGGCAAACGCUAAAGACUGCAAAAGUGAAUUGAAAAUUCUGAAAGAUCAUAUAAGAGAUUCUGAGGAUCAGCGCAAAAGUUUGGACCAAGAUUUAAAGGACAUUUACCUGAAACGUGAUGAAGCAAAGUUAGAAUAUGAACGUUUGAAUGAGGGAAUUCGUCAGAGCCGAGUCGCACAUGAUGACUACAUGCGCCAGGAGAAGACGAAGCAGUCUGAGUUACAGGAACUCUUGAAAAACGUUAAUGAUAAAUCUAUCGAAUAUCAGGAGGCAAAAAUGGCUCUUAACAAAGUCAGAAAAGAAGUAGAACGGGAAGAAAACAAACUAAACAAGUUGGUCAGUAAUGCUAAUUUAGAAUUAGAGAACAUUCGCUCCGAUCUGAAAUCCAAGCAGUUAGAACUGGAACAGGCUACCUACUCUGUCACCAACCUAAAGAAAGAGUCUGAAAAACUACAUGUAAAUGAAGAAAAGUUUAUGGAUCUGGACAAGCAAAUCAAAAGUUUGGAAAAAGAAAUUCUGGACAGAAAUGAAGAAAAGAAUGAAUUGGCCAAGGCAUUGUCAAGGUCAUAUGAGGAACUACAAAAAGCUCGCACUGCCUCCGCUCAGGAACAGGAACGAAUGAUGAGAGAGCGUGUAGAACUAGAAAAUGCUCUCCAUGAUAUUCAGACGCAACUAGAACAAGCAAAGCAGGAGAUGAAACAAAUGCAGAAUCGCACGUCUAACCAGGUCACUGAGCUGCAGAACUUGGCAGAGAUCCAGUUUAGUCGGGCCAAUCGUCUUGGUGACGAACUCAACAAGAUACGCAAAGACAAUAAAGAUAUGAGGAGAAAAUUACUAAUCAAGAAUCACUUGAAUGAAAAUGAAAAAGACGACGAGGACUGUUUGAAUUCAAAUAUAGGCCAUCAGGAGGGCGACAACCAAUCAGAGAUCGAGCCUCCCACAGACCCAGACAUUAUUGACCGUCAUCUCGCAAACCUCCAGUUUAACUCCCAGCAAUCACAAGAGAUGCUGACUGACAACAAGGAGAAUGUGAAUGUGGAAGGAGUGGGGUCUGUGAAGGACAGCAUCAAGGGCAAGAUGACCGAGGAGCAGGAUCUUCUUAGGCAUCAGUUACAAGAACAGAUGAGGCGACACGCAGAGGCCAUGGAGCAUGCCCGCAUGCAGUCAGAGGGAACGAUAGAGAGUUUGCGACGUAAGAUGAACGCCCUACAGGACGUGCUGGUGUCUACGGGGGAGGACCCUAACCCCCGCCUCUCACUGAUCAGAAAGAGGUCACGGUCCUCUUCCCCUGGGAAAUCCAUACUGGAAACCACCAUCAGGGGUCGAGAGAGGUCCAAAAGUCCCACAUCACGACGCAGUUACCUGGCGCAGAGACCUAGAUCUAGGUCACGCUCCUAUGAGAGGUCACACAGUCCCCUGUUUCCUGAGAGAGACAUUGCUUGAUACAGAGAACACUCAAGCUGAACAGUUCCAGUAGACUGUGAACACUUACUUAUUUAAAAACUUUCCCGCAGAGCUGUGAUAUUUACACAUAGUCAUUUUCAAUCUUUUGGACAUUCCUAUCCAAGAUGUCUGUGAUUUUAUCUUGCAACUAGUAUUAUGUUUUUACAGAUAUAGAAUUAGAUAGGAUUUAACUAUUUAUAGUAACUUUUAUAAAUCGUAACUUUUAUAAAUUAAUUUUGUUUUUGUAGACAUUUACAAUUUGUCUCAUAUAUCAUCUUAUUUAUUUUCUUUUAAACCGUCCCAUGGAAACAAAACGUCAAGAAAUUUGAAUUAAAUUUACUUUUAUUUGUUAUAUCUGUAUGUGGUGCUUUCAGCAGUGUAGUUGUGACGACUAUCGAUAUUUAUGUUGUGUGAAUGAUCAAAUGUUAUAAGAGGGCGAGAGAAUGUGCCAAAUGAUGUUGAUUGUUUACCUGUAUAAUUGUGUGCAUACCUGUAUUUAGUCUGUAUACUUGUUACAGUUUAUGUAUAGAACAUGCAUGUACAGCAGCAAAGCCCUUGUUGUGAAUACAUAUGUACUCAGUAUAUAUUAUUUAUAUUAUUUAUAUGUAAUAAAUGGAUACUAAACUGAUUUCGUUUUCUUUAAAUGUAUAUAAUUACUUGUAUUGAUCACUAAUGUAAAGAAGAUGGGGG
rnacentral:misc_RNA from 1 species